CCUACGGGUGGCAGCAGUGGGGAAUAUUGGGCAAUGGGCGCAAGCCUGACCCAGCAACGCCGCGUGAAGGAAGAAGGUUUUCGGGUUGUAAACUUCUUUUCUCAGGGACGAAGCAAGUGACGGUACCUGAGGAAUAAGCCACGGCUAACUACGUGCCAGCAGCCGCGGUAAGACGUAGGUGGCAAGCGUUAGCCGGAUGUACUGGGUGUAAAGGGCGUGUAGGCGGGACUGCAAGUCAGAUGUGAAAACCACGGGCUCAACCUGUGGCCUGCAUUUGAAACUGUCGUUCUUGAGUACUGGAGAGGCAGACGGAAUUCCUAGUGUAGCGGUGAAAUGCGUAGAUAUUAGGCGGAACACCAGUGGCGAAGGCGGUCUGCUGGCCAGCAACUGACGCUGAGGCGCGAAAGCGUGGGGAGCAAACAGGAUUAGAUACCCGGGUAGUC
rnacentral:rRNA from 1 species